AUUGAACGCUGGCGGCAGGCCUAACACAUGCAAGUCGAACGGUAACAGGAAACUGCUUGCUGUUUCGCUGACGAGUGGCGGACGGGUGAGUAAUGUCUGGGAAACUGCCUGAUGGAGGGGGAUAACUACUGGAAACGGUAGCUAAUACCGCAUAACGUCGCAAGACUAAAGAGGGGGACCUUCGGGCCUCUUGCCAUCGGAUGUGCCCAGAUGGGAUUAGCUAGUAGGUGGGGUAACGGCUCACCUAGGCGACGAUCCCUAGCUGGUCUGAGAGGAUGGCCAGCCACACUGGAACUGAGACACGGUCCAGACUCCUGCGGGAGGCAGCAGUGGGGAAUAUUGCACAAUGGGCGCAAGCCUGAUGCAGCCAUGCCGCGUGUAUGAAGAAGGCCUUCGGGUUGUAAAGUACUUUCAGCGGGGAUGAAGGGAGUAAAGUUAAUACCCUUGCUCAUUGACGUUACCCGCAGAAGAAGCACCGGCUAACUCCGUG
rnacentral:rRNA from 1 species